AGUGAAUGCUGGCGGUAGGCCUAACACAUGCAAGUCGAACGGCAGCACGGGAGAGCUUGCUCUCUGGGUGGCGAGUGGCGGACGGGUGAGGAAUACAUCGGAAUCUACUCUGUCGUGGGGGAUAACGUAGGGAAACUUACGCUAAUACCGCAUACGACCUACGGGUGAAAGCAGGGGACCUUCGGGCCUUGCGCGAUUGAAUGAGCCGAUGUCGGAUUAGCUAGUUGGCGGGGUAAAGGCCCACCAAGGCGACGAUCCGUAGCUGGUCUGAGAGGAUGAUCAGCCACACUGGAACUGAGACACGGUCCAGGCUCCUACGGGAGGCAGCAGUGGGGAAUAUUGGACAAUGGGCGCAAGCCUGAUCCAGCCAUACCGCGUGGGUGAAGAAGGCCUUCGGGUUGUAAAGCCCUUUUGUUGGGAAAGAAAUCCAGCUGGCUAAUACCCGGUUGGGAUGACGGUACCCAAAGAAUAAGCACCGGCUAACUUCGUGCCAGCCGCCGCCGUAA
rnacentral:rRNA from 1 species